GAUGAACGCUGGCGGCGUGCCUAAUACAUGCAAGUCGAGCGAACAGAUGAGGAGCUUGCUCCUCUGACGUUAGCGGCGGACGGGUGAGUAACACGUGGAUAACCUACCUAUAAGACUGGGAUAACUUCGGGAAACCGGAGCUAAUACCGGAUAAUAUAUUGAACCGCAUGGUUCAAUAGUGAAAGACGGUUUUGCUGUCACUUAUAGAUGGAUCCGCGCCGCAUUAGCUAGUUGGUAAGGUAACGGCUUACCAAGGCAACGAGGCGUAGCCGACCUGAGAGGGUGAUCGGCCACACUGGAACUGAGACACGGUCCAGACUCCUACGGGAGGCAGCAGUAGGGAAUCUUCCGCAAGGGGCGAAAGCCUGACGUAGCAACGCCGCGUGAGUGAUGAAGGUCUUCGGAUCGUAAAACUCUGUUAUUAGGGAAGAACAAAUGUGUAAGUAACUAUGCACGUCUUGACGGUACCUAAUCAGAAAGCCACGGCUAACUACGUG
rnacentral:rRNA from 1 species